rnacentral:rRNA from 1 species
UUGGAGGGCAAGUCUGGUGCCAGCAGCCGCGGUAAUUCAAGCUCCAAUAGCGUAUAUUAAAGUUGUUGCAGUUAAAAAGCUCGUAGUUGAAUUUCGGGAUCAAUUUAUCGGUCGUGCCAAUGGUAUGAACUGGUACAAUUGGUUUCUCCCUUCUGACGAAGCAUGAUGUCAUUAAUUUGGUGUCGUGGGGAAUCAGGACUGUUACUUUGAAAAAAUUAGAGUGUUUAAGCAAGCACACGCUUGAGUACAUUAGCAUGGAAUAAUGAAAUAGGACGUUUGACCCUAUUUUGUUGGUUUCUAGGAUCGACGUAAUGAUUAAUAGGGAUAGUUGGGGGCAUUAGUAUUCAAUUGUCAGAGGUGAAAUUCUUGGAUUUAUUGAAGACUAACUUCUGCGAAAGCAUUUGCCAAGGAUGUUUUCAUUAAUCAAGAACGAAAGUUAGGGGAUCGAAGACGAUCAGAUACCGUCGUAGUCUUAACCAUAAACUAUGCCGACUAGGGAUCGGAUGAUGUUAAUUUUUUAGUGACUCAUUCGGCGCCUUACGGGAAAC